UACGAAGGGUGCUAGCGUUGCUCGGAAUUACUGGGCGUAAAGCGCGCGCAGGUGGUCUGUUAAGUUGGGGGGGAAAGCCCGGAGCUCAACUCCGGAAUCGCCUUCAAAACUGGCAGGCUAGAGUUCGGAAGAGGAGAGUGGAAUUCCCAGUGUAGAGGUGAAAUUCGUAGAUAUUGGGAAGAACACCAGUGGCGAAGGCGGCUCUCUGGUCCGACACUGACACUGAGGCGCGAAAGCGUGGGGAGCAAACAGG
rnacentral:rRNA from 1 species